rnacentral:rRNA from 1 species
UUAAACUAGGGAUUAGAUACCCUAUUAUUAAAAUUUAAAUUGAAAAUACUAAAAUAGUAGGUAAUUAUUUAUUGAAACUUAAAUAAUUUGGCGGUAUUUUAGUUCAUUUAGAGGAAUCUGUUUAUUAAUUGAUAAUCCACGAAUAAAUUUACUUAAUUUUUUUAUUUUGUAUAUCGUUGUUAAAAAAAUAUUUUUUAAUAAUAAUAAUAUUUAAAAAUUUAAAUUAAAAAUUAAAUCAGAUCAAGAUGCAGAUUAUAAUUAAGAAUAUAAUGGAUUACAAUAAAUUUAUUUAAAUGGAUAUUAAUUUGUAAAAAUUAAUUAAAGGUGGAUUUAAAUGUAA